AAUUACUCUAGGCUUCAAUUGAUGUUGCUUAUCAAAUCAAGUCUUAUUCCCUAAUCUUGCUUUUUGUAACCUUUCUAAUGCUACUUCCAUAUCUUUUGAUCUUUGUUCAAGUUGUCAAAUUCUAAUAGCUAAUAAUUCCUCUCUUGUCAAUCCAUCAUUCCAUGGUAGCAUAUUCCAAGUUGGCACAUGUUCUUCAAUUGGCAUAAUUGAUUUUUGAUCUAUCAUAAGUUCCAUUGGCAUAUAUCUUAUCACUGAACUCUGUGUUGUUCGAUCAGCCUAUAAAAUAUAAGAUAGAAUUCGAGGCCA
rnacentral:lncRNA from 1 species